rfam:Anolis carolinensis unplaced genomic scaffold chrTn0190, whole genome shotgun sequence.
ACUGAGGGCCUAAAUACCCUUAAGACACCAUAUCCUAUUUAAUCUAGAAAACUAAGCAGGGUCACCCCUGGUGAGUAUGUUGAUGGGAGACUGCCAAUUAAUGCCAGGUGCUCUUGGCU